AACGUAGGUACCGAGCGUUAUCCGGAUUCACUGGGCGUAAAGCGCGAUGCAGGUGGUAUGGUAAGUCGGGCAUGAAGACUCUUGGCUCAACUGAGAGACGCUGUCCGAUACUGCCGAACUUGAGGGUGUAAGAGGGAGGUGGAAUUCCGCAUGUAGCGGUGAAAUGCGUAGAUAUUGGGAGGAACACCAGUGGCGAAGGCGGCUCACUGGACCGGAACUGACGCUGAGGCGCGAAAGCGUGGGGAGCGAACAGG
rnacentral:rRNA from 1 species